rnacentral:rRNA from 1 species
UACGAAGGGGGCUAGCGUUGUUCGGAAUUACUGGGCGUAAAGCGCGCGCGGGCGGUUAUGCAAGUCAGGGGUGAAAGCCCGAGGCUCAACCUCGGAACGGCCUUUGCGACUGCAUGACUAGAGACCGGGAGAGGAGAGUGGAAUUCCCAGUGUAGAGGUGAAAUUCGUAGAUAUUGGGAAGAACACCGGUGGCGAAGGCGGCUCUCUGGACCGAUACUGACGCUGAGGCGCGAAAGCGUGGGGAGCAAACAGG